rnacentral:rRNA from 1 species
UGGGGAAUAUUGCACAAUGGGGGAAACCCUGAUGCAGCGACGCCGCGUGAACGAAGAAGGUAUUCGUAUCGUAAAGUUCUGUCUUAUGGGAAGAUAAUGACAGUACCAUAGAAGAAAGCUCCGGCUAAAUACGUGCCAGCAGCCGCGGUAAUACGUAUGGAGCGAGCGUUGUCCGGAAUUAUUGGGCGUAAAGGGUACGCAGGCGGUUUAAUAAGUCGAAUGUUAAAGAUCGGGGCUCAACCCCGCAAAGCAUUGGAAACUGAUAAACUUGAGUAGUGGAGAGGAAAGUGGAAUUCCUAGUGUAGUGGUGAAAUACGUAGAUAUUAGGAGGAAUACCAGUAGCGAAGGCGACUUUCUGGACACAAACUGACGCUGAGGUACGAAAGCGUGGGGAGCAAACAGG